GAACAUGAGGGUCCCAAUACUCUGACAUGGGUAAAGGCUUGAAGUUUAAGUCUCUCUUGAAGAAAUGGCCAUGCUUCAUUUAAUCCUGCUGCAGCCAGACUGCUGUGGAUGUCAUGCUUCUGAUGAGACAUUAAAUCAAGACUUCAAUCUAAUUCACCUGGAAUUUUCAUGUUAGGUAAGGAUAUAAUUUCAUUUUCUUUUAAACUAAUUUUACCAACAAAAUUUAUUGCAUAAUUCUUUUUUUAAAACACGUAUAUAAAACAUAUAUGCUUACCUGCAUCUAGGCUAUUCUUGUUGAUCCCUGCAUCAGGACCACACUGAUUUGAUUAUUGUAGGUUACUUUAUGUUUUAAUAUCUUAUAGGACCAGUCUCUUUAUUCCUAUUA